CAACAGGUCACAUGACCCGCCCUAACAAGGUUGCUAAGAGCGACAUCUUAAUGGCGCCUUAAAGCACCGCUCACGGAAACGACACACGUAUUAGAGGGCUGUCAAACGUACGGCCCUAGGGCCUGAUCAGGUUUUAUCCAGCCCGCGGGAUGAGUUUGUCAACCAUGAUGUCCAAGGAGUCAGGACUCUGCCAGGACUUCACCAAGCAUCUGACAUCUCAACACUGCACUGGAGGUGCAUGUCAUUGGAGGUGGGAAGAAACUGGACUAACCGGUAGGAAGCCACGCAGUCAAGGGGAGGUCAUGCAUACUCCACACAGAAAGAUCCCGAGCCCGGGAUUGAACCCAGGACCUUUGUAUUGUGAGGCACAUCCACUAACCCCUGUUUCA